rnacentral:rRNA from 1 species
UACGUAGGGGGCUAGCGUUGUCCGGAAUUAUUGGGCGUAAAGAGCGUGUAGGCGGUCCGGUAAGUCAGCUGUGAAAGUCAAGGGCUCAACCCUUGAAUGCCGGUUGAUACUGUCGGGCUAGAGUCCGGAAGAGGCGAGUGGAAUUCCAGGUGUAGCGGUGAAAUGCGUAGAUAUCUGGAGGAAUACCGGUGGCGAAGGCGGCAUCCUGGACCGACAUUGACGCUGAUGAGCGAAAGCUAGGGGAGCAAACGGG